rnacentral:lncRNA from 1 species
GGAGCAGGUAGCUGCUGGGCUCCGGGGACACUUUGCGUUCGGGCUGGGAGCGUGCUUUCCACGACGGUGACACGCUUCCCUGGAUUGGGUGGCAUUUACACACAGCGCCAGUGCACACAGCAAGUGCACAGGAAGAUGAGUUUUGGCCCCUAACCGCUCCGUGAUGCCUACCAAGUCACAGACCCUUUUCAUCGUCCCAGAAACGUUUCAUCACGUCUCUUCCCAGUCGAUUCCCGACCCCACCUUUAUUUUGAUCUCCAUAACCAUUUUGCCUGUUGGAGAACUUCAUAUAGAAUGGAAUCAGGCUGGGCGCUGUGGCUCACGCCUGCACUUUGGGAGGCCGAGGCGGGCGGAUUACUUGAGGAUAGGAGUUCCAGACCAGCGUGGCCAACGUGGUGAAUCCCCGUCUCUACUAAAAAAUACAAAAAUUAGCUGGGCGUGGUGGGUGCCUGUAAUCCCAGCUAUUCGGGAGGGUGAGGCAGGAGAAUCGCUUGAACCCGGGAGGCAGAGGUUGCAGUGAGCCAAGAUCGUGCCACUACACUCCAGCCUGGGCGACAAGAACGAAACUCCGUCUCAAAAAAAAGGGGGGAAUCAUACAUUAUGUGCUCAUUUUUGUCGGGCUUCUGUCCUUCAAUGUACUGUCUGACAUUCGUUCAUGUUGUAUAUAUCAGUAUUUUGCUCCUUUUCAUUUAGUAUAGUCCAUCGAUUGUAUAUCCGUCCUUUUGAUGGCCUUUUGAGUUGUUUCCCAUUUGCGGUUAUGAAAUAAAGCUGCUAUAAACAUUCU